rnacentral:rRNA from 1 species
UACGUAGGGUCAAGCGUUGUCCGGAUUUAUUGGGCGUAAAGAGCGUGUAGGCGGCUAGGUAGGUCCGUUGUGAAAACUCGAGGCUCAACCUCGAGACGCCGAUGGAAACCAUCUAGCUAGAGUCCGGAAGAGGAGAGUGGAAUUCCUGGUGUAGCGGUGAAAUGCGCAGAUAUCAGGAAGAACACCCGUGGCUAAGGCGGCUCUCUAGUACGGUACUGACGCUGAGACGCGAAAGCGUGGGGAGCGAACAGG